UACAGAGGGUGCUAGCGUUGUUCGGAAUCAUUGGGCGUAAAGGGCGUGUAGGCGGUCAGGUAAGUGAGAUGUGAAAUGCCCCGGCUCACCCGGGGACCGGCAUCUCAUACUGCUUGGCUUGAGUACGGGAGAGGAUGUGGGAAUUCCUGGUGUAGCGGUGAAAUGCGUAGAUAUCAGGAGGAACACCGGUGGCGAAGGCGGCAUCCUGGACCAACAUUG
rnacentral:rRNA from 1 species